rnacentral:lncRNA from 1 species
AUGAGAGAGCUGCAUCUGCAGGGUCUUCUGCCAGGGUCAACAUCCCAGCCUGUCACUCUCAGAGUUUCUGUGGCAGAAAUACUGUAUCAGAACAAUUAUUUUGCAUCUACGGAAAAGAGAAAUUUCUUUCUCCUCUGAUAAUGACCUAAUUAAUUUGAACAGUUACAAAACUAGGGGACAUGAAAAGAAUUUGAGAAGUCUUCAGGCAAGGAGUAAGAGGAUGACCAAACCAUGCUAUUCAGCAAAGUACUGCAUUACAAACAUCUAAUGGAACACACUUGAUAGGUAGCCAAAAGAAAUGCACACAUGGUGGCAGAGCUAAAUUACCAUGUCUCACAAAACAAGGUUACGUAUUACAGAAUGGAAUAUUUAUGCUUUUUUGGAGAAGUUUCAAGCUUACUGUGUUUGUAGUGCAAAGUGAAUUUGCAGAGUUGGUUACCUGCAGUCUUCCCUUUAAAACUGGUUAUUUUCCUUCUUUAAGCCUCAGGAUUUUUUGCUUAUUUGAUGUUUAAUACCCUCUAUGCUUUUAAGUGUCCCUUGAGGUUCUUCCUCAUCUGUGAUUGAAAAUGUAACCACCACUAAUGCAACAUGGGUCUUACUUACAUUCAUAAAAAUGGAGCAGACACUGGAAUAUUUAUAGACUGCAGCAGCUUAAGAUAAAUAUAACAUGAUGUAUUUACAUAACACCAGUUUAAAAGGCCAACAAUGCACUCAGUGUGUAGGCACUGAUUCAAGACUCUGGAUGAGAGGCUCACAGCCUGUGCUAUUUUUAUUUUUAGCAUUAAAUCAUUCUCUGCAAUUUGGUUUCAUCCUUGCUUGGUCUGAGCGACUCGUACUCUGCAGAAAAUCUAACAGAGCAUUGGAAUUUGUAAGUAAAAAGAAGUCUGGGAAGAUUCUAGCAGUGACUAUCAGUAAUCCAUGAGGAAUUAGAAUUGUCCAAGAGGAAAUUUUACAAGGAUAAAAAGGCUAUUGCCAAGUGUGAAGUCAUUCUCCAAUGAUGACCUCCAAGAUGUCCUUCCUCUUACAGAGCCAAAAAGGAAGAGCACAUGUGGAGUUUGCCUUGAGGACAGAAUUUAUUCUUACCUUCAUCAAGAGGAAAAAGGUUUUGCCUUGUGAGGAAUUGCCACUUUCCCAAGGUAGGAAGCAAGCUUCCCUGACAUUUAGUUGCUUGGUGUCUGUACCCAGCCUCUGAUAGAAGUGAAACAGAUUCUUUUCUGUUUGGCAUUUAUGGGCACUACCAGUUAGCAGGCUUUUGGUUUGGCUUGACAGCCCUGUAUGCACCUGAUUUAAGAUCUAUAUCUUAUAAGUUGAGUUUAAAUGGGCUGUUUUACCAGACUAUGCAGUUUGACACACAGAUACGCCUGGCUUGUCUUCCAGAGAAGACAGAAGGGAGAGUUUGUUUUAUAGCCUAGAAGGCUUAGAGUUUGUGUUUCCAUAUCACCUGACUUUGACUGCAAUUGAUUGUAGAACAUAUAGCGAAGGCAGAUAAGAGGAAUUGUCCUGUAUUUUCUGCAUAGCUGCUGCCCUUGUGAACUGAGAUUACUAGAGAUACUUUAAACAAUUAAAUAGUCAUUCUGAUUACAUAGUAAAUCAUUCAGACUGAAGUAGACUUUCUAGCAAUGCAAACCAUGAA